rnacentral:lncRNA from 1 species
AUGGAAGAGAAUAACAAAGAGACUGAUGGAAGAAUAAGAAUGGUGUGAGAUUAAGAGACUUUGGGUGAGAGAUUGAGAGAUUAGAGAGAUUGAGAGAUUAGGUAACCAGAGAAUAGAGAUUGGGAGAUUCAAAGUAACCAAAGACUAUGAAGGAGAAGGGGAAAUCCCCCUAACUCUCUUAAGAGUUACAAAUCGCCAUAUACAUCUGUUUAUAUAGACUUUUACAAUCUGAGACAUCAUAAACCUAUAUCUAAUGGCUGUAAAUAACUUAAGAGGAAUGGAUGGUGUAGAUGAGCUAGUCUUGUUGCAAUCUGUGUAGUUGAAUCUGAUUGGCUGAAGCAGCUGGCGCCUAUCUUUAAUUCAAACCAGGGCUGUGCUGUGAUUGGCUCUCCUUAAGCUCCUCCUAAUCUGUCCACAGAUCAGUCUAGGUUCAUGGUCGUGGCUCCCCUUGCCUUUACAGUCAAAGCCAGCCUGUCCCAUGACCAAACUCUCCAAUCAUAUCACAGCACCUUAUCUUCUUUGUCUUCUUCUCUUAAGAGCUUCUUUUGUCUUCUUCUCUUAAGAGCUUGUUUUGUCUUCUUCUCUUAAGAGCUGACCUAUGCCCUAUUUUUGCACAAACUUCAUAACUUCUGAAAUGAUCGAGUUAUGAGCUUUCGGGUCGGGACAGGUCCGUACGGAUCCGUACGGUCCGUACACGUCCGUACCAAAUCCGUACGGCCUCGCCCUAAGUUUGCACACUCGACCACCUGCUCCCAAAGAUACUCCUAAGCCUCUCCUGACUUGGCCCUAUCUUUGCACAACCAUCAGAUCACUUCUGGACACUCUCAGACCCUCCUGAAGCCUUGGUAGACAAUCCCUGAAGGACUUGCCCUAUCUUUGCACAAGCACCAACUCAACUCAUCACCUUUGCUUCUCCACUUCUUCUCUUCAAGUUAACACUCCCCCUCAAGCUUGACCUUAGCUGAUCCUAAGUCAAGCUUGGAACCUUGAAGAAUCCCCUCAUUAAAAACCUUACAAGGAAAACCCUUUGGGACAAAACCUUGUAAGGGAAAAAGAGUAGGUUCAUCAAGGCCUGGGGAUUGGCCAGUGAGCCCUUGUGCCUUAGAACCAGUGUGGUUGGACACAAGAAGCUCUGGAUCACGGCCUAAUAGGUGCAACAACUCUUCACAGCUUUGCACACACUUCACACUUCAGCUUCACCUCUUCAUGGAACUGGUUUGAAGUCUCCCCCUCUCAACUGACUUCUCAGCCAUCUUAGAGAAGCUAGGACAUGACCAUAGUAUCUUCAAACACCAGUGAGCCUUAUCAACACUUCACACACGGCUUGCCCUCCUCAUAGACCUGGUUUGGAUCUCCCCCUCUCAACAAACUUCACAGCCACCUUAGAGAAGCUAGGAAAUGACCAGGAACACCUUUAGUGAGGCUCAAGCAAUGGUACCUAGACACGCCACUGACUUGGUCCGGUUGAUGAUCCUUGUAGAAGCCUUUGCAAAGACUUGUUACUGACCAUGGAUCAUAUGCAUUAAGACUCCCCCUCAAGCUUAGAACCGAGACUAGAAGGAGCUAAGCUUGUGAUGAUCCUAUGCAUCUCCAUGGUCUAAUAACUAUCAUCUUUCAUGAUAGAUUUCUUCUUGUGAGUUUACUCUCUUCCUUAACCAGGAACUAGGGUGUUUGAAUCACCAUAGAGAGUCUCACAAGACACACCUCUCAUUGCAUAAUGACCCAUGCUACACUUCCUGUAGACUAAGGACUAGAUAUGUCCAAUGGUAUUAUGCAAUGGCCAUCUCUCAUUGCAUACUCAAUCACACUACACUUCCUGUAGACUAAGGACUAGAUAUGUCCAAUGGUAUUAUGCAAUGGCCAUCUCUCAUUGCAUACUCAAUCACACUACACUUCCUGUAGAUUAUGGACUAACAUGUCCUGGUGAUGAUAUGCAAUGGCACAAGACCUUUGUCUUUACAUUCUUGGUUGUUGGCGAGUUACAUGUAUCACACUCCUUGUGUACCUAACACCACCACAACUCAAUGCAAGAUCAGAUAAUCCCAUUGGGAUCAAACUAAGAUCAUCCAUCCUGUUUGAUCACCAAUGCCACAACAAUAUAUAAAUCUUGAAACAAGCCAAUCAAUCAAAGCAAGAACAAUCAGUUUUAAAUCUCUAAAAUGACAAUGCAAGCUUUAAACAAUACAUUGACAAUUUAGGCUCAUUUUUAAAUGCAUCAAUACAUGAAUGCACAGUCUUAAAGCAUUAACUACAUGAAUGCAUCAGGUUCAAUCCGAGAGCAAUAUUAAAGCUAUGCACAACAGUUCCAAUCAAUACUAAUGAUGCAAGCAACUUAGACAGUUUCUAAUUGAUGCAAGACAAUCAAUGAUGGAUUAAACAUAGGCAAUAGCAUCAGACAACAAUAGGAUUGAACUUAGACAGUAUGAGACAUGCUUAUGUAUGCAAAACAGCUUAUCAAUCAUGAUGCAAGCAGCAGAGACAUUCUACUCAAUUCUACAACACAUUCAUGAUGAUUUCAAGCUAUGGCAAUACACAAGACAAUGCAAUGAACAGAACAUGAGAUUUUGGGACUCUAGACAUUACUUAAUAUCAAUAAGACAAUGCAGUAGCAAACUAUUUCCAGUGCAAUUAGCCUAGACCUUCUACUAGAAGACAUAUUAAAAAUAGAUGAGACUAGGUUUACUCCCUUGUUUAAGAUGGUGAGGAGUGGUCUCUUCAUUUCGCCACUUGAGUCCUCACUUGCUACGCUUAACAGCUUCUCCUUUCAUCACACAAGCUCACUAACACUCCUUCUCAAGCUUGAGACCGAGUAUAGGGAAGGUCCAAGCUUGAAGGUGAGCGCUUACUAAGCUUCAUGAACAACCUUGUGGGAACACCUCCAUCUUCUUCAGACUUGAUGCUUACUUCCCCACUUAACCACCAUUGCACUGAGGAGAUACCUCAGCUUACUCUCCAAGUACUUCUUAUUAGAAGCUCAUUGAGUGGCUUUCUUCUUCCCUCUACUUCGGCUGCAUCUACACAUGAUCAGCUUGCAAUGGCCUUGAGGAACCAGGUCAUUGAGCUUAGAGGAUCUUCUGGUAGCUCACUUGAGUCCACACCUCAAGCUUGACUUAGUAUAGGUGCAAGCUUGAAGUGAGUCUCAAUGAGACUUCAAACCGGGAGCGCAUCACUACCUACAGCUGCGCUUAACCCAACCGAUCUGCCAUUGCCUUCAGCUCCAAUGCCUUCAGGUCAUCAGUCUCCCCAAGACUUAGAUGAUGACCUUUACUUGUGUGUCUCCAUGAACCAGGAGCUCAUCACUAUUACUAGCUGCGCUAUCUCAACCGGCCAUACACACAAGUCUUUCUCCAUUGCUUUAACAAUGGCAAGGUCUUCCUCUUCUACUUGGAUGGAUGGUGAGCAAAGAACGCUUCUUGUGAACCUGAAACACCACUCAAACUCCAGCAAAGAUAAGACACAAUUGCAUUGGGAUCAAUCCUUGACUUCAUCAAGUUUGAUCACCAAUGUCUCAAGCUUUAUAACAUUAAAUAGAAUCAAGACACUGUCAAGUUCUUAUCUAUGCAAGCAACCAUUCUCUAAAUACUAAGCAAGACCUUAUCAGAUUCAAGUCAAAUUAUUAGGCAAUUUUAAUCACUCCUUAAUAUGCUACUUAGACUUUAAUCUAAAUGCAACAAUACAAGGCAGCAACAAGGCAGUAUGCAUUAAUCUUAACCAGUUUCUACUCAUAACAGCAAGUAUGAUUAGAUAAUAUAAUCUAUCAUCUUAACAAGACAAGUUUCAUUUAGAACUGAAGAAACCGUAACAAGGUAGAAGUUACCUUAAGGGCUUAGUGAAGGGAUAAGACUGGUAGGAGGAUAAGGGACGCGCGUGCCAGGCUGGAACAGGCUGGAAAGUAGUCCAAGAUGCCAUAAGCAUGUGAGCCAUCCUGGCCAAUCAUUCAAAAGGCUCCCAUUGACUCCACACGGUUAAACAGUGGCGAUUUCCCUUCUUGUAAACCCUUGUGUCUCCCUUAUAAAUAUGUAACCUCACUCAUUAAUAAAUUAAGCAAGUUUUGAGACUCUCUCUUAGUCUUUAAAUCUCAAUGGUUCCAUAUUAGACUCCUAAUCUCAUUCCAUACUCUAAUCUUCACCAAAUCGUUUCUAGUCUUUCCUAAACACUCAGAUUACUCUAAACAUUACUAAAAAUCAUAAUAGGAGUUGGCAUGAAGAAGUUAUCUAUAAUAUUUAGAGAUCCUUAGAGUGAUUAGAAUAUAAGUGAGAGUUUAAGUAGAGAUUAGAAGAGAUUGUGAACGAUUAAGAGACUUGAGAGCCGAUUAGUGUCUAAGAGAGAAUCAUUGUGACUUAAGAGAUUAGAGAGACUCAGAACUGCUUAAUCUUAUUGCUGAGUGAGGUUACAUAUUUAUAAGAGAGACAUAAGGGUUUACAAGAGAAGAAAGGAGCACUAUUGAAGCAUGUGGAGUCAAGGGUCGCUUUUGAAUGGACGGAUGGGAAGCCUUACAUGCUUUGGCUCUUUACAGCCUGUCACAGCCUGUCUUGCUCUUCCCUUAUCCACUCAACGGUCUGAUCCUCUCCACUUGUGAGAUUUUCAGAGCACAGGUUGUGUGGGCGUGGUGAAUCAACCUCCACAGGUUGGGACUGAGUCUUGUUCAACAAUGGAAGAGAAUAACAAAGAGACUGAUGGAAGAAUAAGAAUGGUGUGAGAUUAAGAGACUUUGGGUGAGAGACUGAGAGAUUAGAGAGAUUGAGAGAUUAGGUAACCAGAGAAUAGAGAUUGGGAGAUUCAAAGUAACCAAAGACUAUGAAGGAGAAGGGGAAAUCCCCCUAACUCUCUUAAGAGUUACAAAUCGCCAUAUACAUCUGUUUAUAUAGACUUUUACAAUCUGAGACAUCAUAAACCUAUAUCUAAUGGCUGUAAAUAACUUAAGAGGAAUGGAUGGUGUAGAUGAGCUGGUCUUGUUGCAAUCUGUGUAGUUGAAUCUGAUUGGCUGAAGCAGCUGGCGCCUAUCUUUAAUUCAAACCAGGGCUGUGCUGUGAUUGGCUUUCCUUAAGCUCCUCCUAAUCUGUCCACAGAUCAGUCUAGGUUCAUGGUCGUGGCUCCCCUUGCCUUUACAGUCAAAGCCAGCCUGUCCCAUGACCAAACUCUCCAAUCAUAUCACAGCACCUUAUCUUCUUUGUCUUCUUCUCUUAAGAGCUUCUUUUGUCUUCUUCUCUUAAGAGCUUGUUUUGUCUUCUUCUCUUAAGAGCUGACCUAUGCCCUAUUUUUGCACAAACUUCAUAACUUCUGAAAUGAUCGAGUUAUGAGCUUUCGGGUCGGGACAGGUCCGUACGGAUCCGUACGGUCCGUACACGUCCGUACCAAAUCCGUACGGCCUCGCCCUAAGUUUGCACACUCGACCACCUGCUCCCAAAGAUACUCCUAAGCCUCUCCUGACUUGGCCCUAUCUUUGCACAACCAUUAGAUCACUUCUGGACACUCUCAGACCCUCCUGAAGCCUUAGUAGACAAUCCCUGAAGGACUUGCCCUAUCUUUGCACAAGCACCAACUCAACUCAUCACCUUUGCUUCUCCACUUCUUCUCUUCAAGUUAACACCACUAAGCCCUCAAGGUAACAUCUGCUUGUUACCGUUUCACUUGGUCAAGGUUAGGUAACCUUUGGUCGAGACAUUUGGUACGGACGGUACGGCCAUGUACGGCCUUGUACGGACGUCCGUACCAUGCUUGCCCAAAGUCCCCUCAUUCUCUUCCUCCUCUUCUCUUCCACUUCUUAUCUCUUCAUGUUCAUAUCUUCAACUCAUCUCAACCUCCCCCUCAAGCUUGACCUUAGCUGAUCCUAAGUCAAGCUUGGAACCUUGAAGAAUCCCCUCAUUAAAAACCUUACAAGGAAAACCCUUUGGGACAAAACCUUGUAAGGGAAAAAGAGUAGGUUCAUCAAGGCCUGGGGAUUGGCCAGUGAGCCCUUGUGCCUUAGAACCAGUGUGGUUGGACACAAGAAGCUCUGGAUCACGGCCUAAUAGGUGCAACAACUCUUCACAGCUUUGCACACACUUCACACUUCAGCUUCACCUCUUCAUGGAACUGGUUUGAAGUCUCCCCCUCUCAACUGACUUCUCAGCCAUCUUAGAGAAGCUAGGACACGACCAGAGUAUCUUCAAACACCAGUGAGCCUUAUCAACACUUCACACACGGCUUGCCCUCCUCAUAGACCUGGUUUGGAUCUCCCCCUCUCAACAAACUUCACAGCCACCUUAGAGAAGCUAGGAAAUGACCAGGAACACCUUUAGUGAGGCUCAAGCAAUGGUACCUGAUACAUUAUCCCAAAGGUGCAUCAGUACCUAUCAAAACCAAGAAAAUGAAUAUCCUGCAUCACACUUGAUGCACACAAUCUCACACUUCAAUCAUAAUCUUUUUAAGUAUCUUUUCACGCAUAAGCAAUGAAUAAGAUGAAUGAAGAAGAUUUGAAGAAAGAGUUUAAAAAUCUAAGGGAACUUCCCUUGUGUUUUUGUGAGUUUCCUAACUCGGCCAAUGCACCAUCUUCUUGGCAUCAUCAACUUCUUGGAAAGGCAGAAUGGAUUCAUCAGCUUCUCCUCAAUCACCUCUCAUUGAAGCCGCAUUGAUGGAGAGCCUUCUUCCUCACUCGCCAAGGCUGCUCUGAACAGCCUCUUACCUAGACACGCCACUGACUUGGUCCGGUUGAUGAUCCUUGUAGAAGCCUUUGCAAAGACUUGUUACUGACCAUGGAUCAUAUGCAUUAAGACUCCCCCUCAAGCUUAGAACCGAGACUAGAAGAAGCUAAGCUUGUGAUGAUCCUAUGCAUCUCCAUGGUCUAAUAACUAUCAUCUUUCAUGAUAGCUUUCUUCUUGUGAGUUUACUCUCUUCCUUAACCAGGAACUAGGGUGUUUGAAUCACCAUAGAGAGUCUCACAAGACACACCUCUCAUUGCAUAAUGACCCAUGCUACACUUCCUGUAGACUAAGGACUAGAUAUGUCCAAUGGUAUUAUGCAAUGGCCAUCUCUCAUUGCAUACUCAAUCACACUACACUUCCUGUAGAUUAUGGACUAACAUGUCCUGGUGAUGAUAUGCAAUGGCACAAGACCUUUGUCUUUACAUUCUUGGUUGUUGGCGAGUUACAUGUAUCACACUCCUUGUGUACCUAACACCACCACAACUCAAUGCAAGAUCAGAUCAUCCCAUUGGGAUCAAACUAAGAUCAUCCAUCCUGUUUGAUCACCAAUGCCACAACAAUAUAUAAAUCUUGAAACAAGCCAAUCAAUCAAAGCAAGAACAAUCAGUUUUAAAUCUCUAAAAUGACAAUGCAAGCUUUAAACAAUACAUUGACAAUUUAGGCUCAUUUUUAAAUGCAUCAAUACAUGAAUGCACAGUCUUAAAGCAUUAACUACAUGAAUGCAUCAGGUUCAAUCCGAGAGCAAUAUUAAAGCUAUGCACAACUGUUCCAAUCAAUACUAAUGAUGCAAGCAACUUAGACAGUUUCUAAUUGAUGCAAGACAAUCAAUGAUGGAUUAAACAUAGGCAAUAGCAUCAGACAACAAUAGGAUUGAACUUAGACAGUAUGAGACAUGCUUAUGUAUGCAAAACAGCUUAUCAAUCAUGAUGCAAGCAGCAGAGACAUUCUACUCAAUUCUACAACACAUUCAUGAUGAUUUCAAGCUAUGGCAAUACACAAGACAAUGCAAUGAACAGAACAUGAGAUUUUGGGACUCUAGACAUUACUUAAUAUCAAUAAGACAAUGCAGUAGCAAAAUAUUUCCAGUGCAAUUAGCCUAGACCUUCUACUAGAAGACAUAUUAAAAAUAGAUGAGACUAGGUUUACUCCCUUGUUUAAGAUGGUGAGGAGUGGUCUCUUCAUUUCGCCACUUGAGUCCUCACUUGCUACGCUUAACAGCUUCUCCUUUCAUCACACAAGCUCACUAACACUCCUUCUCAAGCUUGAGACCGAGUAUAGGAAAGGUCCAAGCUUGAAGGUGAGCGCUUACUAAGCUUCAUGAACAACCUUGUGGGAACACCUCCAUCUUCUUCAGACUUGAUGCUUACUUCCCCACUUAACCACCAUUGCACUGAGGAGAUACCUCAGCUUACUCUCCAAGUACUUCUUAUUAAAAGCUCAUUGAGUGGCUUUCUUCUUCCCUCUACUUCGGCUGCAUCUACACAUGAUCAGCUUGCAAUGGCCUUGAGGAACCAGGUCAUUGAGCUUAGAGGAUCUUCUGGUAGCUCACUUGAGUCCACACCUCAAGCUUGACUUAGUAUAGGUGCAAGCUUGAAGUGAGUCUCAAUGAGACUUCAAACCGGGAGCGCAUCACUACCUACAGCUGCGCUUAACCCAACCGAUCUGCCAUUGCCUUCAGCUCCAAUGCCUUCAGGUCAUCAGUCUCCCCAAGACUUAGAUGAUGACCUUUACUUGUGUGUCUCCAUGAACCAGGAGCUCAUCACUAUUACUAGCUGCGCUAUCUCAACCGGCCAUACACACAAGUCUUUCUCCAUUGCUUUAACAAUGGCAAGGUCUUCCUCUUCUACUUGGAUGGAUGGUGAGCAAAGAACACUUCUUGUGAACCUGAAACACCACUCAAACUCCAGCAAAGAUAAGACACAAUUGCAUUGGGAUCAAUCCUUGACUUCAUCAAGUUUGAUCACCAAUGUCUCAAGCUUUAUAACAUUAGAUAGAAUCAAGACACUGUCAAGUUCUUAUCUAUGCAAGCAACCAUUCUCUAAAUACUAAGCAAGACCUUAUCAGAUUCAAGUCAAAGUAUUAGGCAAUUUUAAUCACUCCUUAAUAUGCUACUUAGACUUUUAAUCUAAAUGCAACAAUACAAGGCAGCAACAAGGCAGUAUGCAUUAAUCUGAAUCAGUUUCUACUCAUGACAGCAAGUAUGAUUAGAUAAUAUAAUCUAUCAUCUUAACAAGACAAGUUUCAUUUAGAACUGACAUUAAGCAUUUCACCAUUUUCAAUAAUAUUGUUGUCAAAACUUGAUUAAUAAAUCAUCAAGUUUGAUUCCCAAUAUCACAAGCAAUGCAACAGAUAGACACAAGGCAUUAUCAAGUUCUAUUCUUUGCAAGCUAACUCUCUAAGUACAUGCAAGAUCCUACCAGAUUCAAGACAAGUUACUUAGGCACUUUUAAAGCUUCUUUAUGUUGACUUGAAGAAAGAAAUGGAGCCAAAGGAGGAGUUGGGUUGAGUUUGGGUCUUGAGCAAGAAUAGGGACAAGAUCUUAAGAGAUUGUCUAUCAAGGCUUCAUGAAGGUUUAGAGAAGUCUAGAAGUGUCAUGAAGGCUGUGCAAAGAUAGGGUUUGAGUCCAGGAGGGACUUAGACACCAUUUGGAGACAGAUGGGUGAUGGUGCAAAGAUAGGGCGACCAGAUGAUCAGACGGUACGGACGGUACAAAACUGGACGGGCCGGGCAAUCUUAGGGCGACCCAAACCGAGUCAGGUCUAACCAUUGGAGAUGUUUGGGUGAGAUGUGCAAAAAUAGGGCGAGGUACGGACAGGCGGUACGUACCAUCAACCGUACUUCACCCAGGAUCGACCAGAAGUUGUGCAAACUUAGGGCGUCGGUUUAGAGAGCGAUUAGGCGACCUUGUCUGAUUGUAAUCAGACUGUUUGUGGAUAAGGAAGAGAGAGGACGUGGUCAACAAGGACAGGCUGUCAAGAGGUGUAAAAGGAAAGCAAAGGGGACCAUGUAUCUAGCUAAAGAAGUGGGAAGGUUCAUGGGAGCCUUUGAGGAACCAAUCAGAAGCCUGCCCUUGCCUUGACCAGUUUGAAUGGACCAAUCACCAGCCAGCCUUCCUUAACCAAUCAGAAGCCAUCACCAAGAUUGCAAAGACCAAAACAAGACUACAUCCAAGCCAUCCAUUUCACAAGUCAUUUCUAGCCAUUAGAUUAAGGGUUUCUAAUGUUUCAAAGUGUAAAGCUUAUAAAAGCAUGUGUAUGGACGAAAAUUAAAGCUCUUAAGAGAGUAUGGGGGAUUUCCCCAUCUCCUUCAUAUUAUAAAGUAUGUUCUUGAUCAGAUUCUCUUAAUCUCUCCCUUUCUUAGUCUCUAAUCUCUUAAUCUCUCAAAGUCUCUUUGUUUCUGAUCUAAGUUCAUACUAGUUCAUCAGAUUCUUUCUUCACCAUUUCAAGACUCUAUUCUGCCCUAAGAGGCUUGUUCUUCACACACACAUCCUAGACUCUUAAAUCUCAUAUGGUAUCAGAGCCAGGUUCAUUAGAACUUGGUUCAAGCUUCCGCUAAGCUCAAGGCUUCUCCCAUGUCAUUUCCAAACCAAGAAGAAGCUUCAUGUUCAGCCUGCUGUAAAACCUCUCCAAGAAGAAGGUGGGCUCAUACAUGGCGUCCAGUAGCUGUCUCUGGUUGUUCUCCACGUUCUCAUGUCCACCCUUGAAGAAAGAAGGCCUUGGAAGCAAAGGUUAUGAAGUGGUCUAGCUAGCCUCUUCAACAAACCAGAUCCAGGCGAGUCUCAUGGUGAUUCUCAUGAAGAAAGGUGGUCUCUUUGACAUGGUGGGUUCAAGAGGAAGGUCCAUGGAAGCAGGAGAUGUUGGGGUCGACACCAACAGCUCAGAUCUUGCCAUGUACUAAGGAGUUUCAAGGAACUAACACUAGUUCCUUGGCUGUAAGGAAAUCUCUUUCUCUUGUAUAAAGCUUGAGUAUUUGAACUGAAAAUUAUAUUAAACUGAUUGUGAUGUGGUGUUGUGAUUGAAAACUUGAGGAUAUAUUAAAGAUUGCUAAAUAAAAUGAAAUGAAUUUAGAAUCUGUCCCAUAAUGCUUAAAAAGUCUUGUUUGGUGGUUGAAAAGUUUAAAAAUGCUUAACCCUGAUUCUAGUGAGGCUUGUUAGGGAGUUAGAAGUUGUCUAAACCUGAUUGCUUUCAUGAAAUGAGAUCACCUAAGGUUAUGCAUUGGGUCUGAUAUUGGUUGUUGAUAGUAGUGCUUAACUAAGGUUCAUAGUGAUGCUUGUUGUGAUUGCUUAAAUCUGCUUGCAUACAUGGAUUGAAACCGUUUUAAAGUUAUUGCAUACUGUCUUGUGGCUGUCUUACAUUGAAGCAUUAGAUUCAUGUCUAAAUUGCUGAGUAAAGAAGCUUUAAAAAUUGCCUAAGUAGCUUGUAUUGAAUCUGUUAAGAUCAUGCUUGUGCUUAGAGAGUUUGCUUGCAAAGAUUAGAACUUGAAAAUGACUUGUUUAAUCUGUUGCAAUGCUUGUGAUAUUGGGAAUCAAACUUGAUGAUUAAUCAAGGAUUGAUCCCAAUACUAUUGUGUCUUAUCUUUGCUGGAGUUUGAGUGAUGUUUCAGGUUCACAAGAAGUGUUCUUUGCUCACCAUCCAUCCGAGUAUAAGAGGAAGACUUGUUGCCCAUUGUGUGUGCAAUGGAGAGUGGUUACUAGUGUGAUAUGGCGCCACUGGUGUGAAGUCUCACUGAAGCUCACUUCAAGCUUGAACCUAGAUUAGGCCAAGCUUGAGGAGGGGAGUUGAGUGAGCUUCCUAGGCAAUCCAAGAAGUCCAUUGCAAGCACCUGAAGAAGGAGCCAUCCGGGUUUAGGCUGUGGCGAGUCUAUUCAAGAGAGUACUCAAACUAAGACAGAGUACUCUUGGCUGUGAGAAGAUUAAGGCUACUCUAUCAAGGCGGCUUCUAGUGUGAGGUGGUUGAAGAGAUAGCUGAGGCUUCCACAAGCAUUCCAUUCAAGAUGGCGAGUUCAAGAAGAGGCUGCAAUGGUGUGUGUGUGUUGAUCAUGAAGCCAUCCGUUCAAGCUUGUUCCUGUGAGAGUCUCAAGCUUGAGGGGGAGUGUUGAAGCUUACAUGAUCAGAAUGAGCUUGGUGGUUAUUCUAGAAGAGGAAGCAACCUGUUGGGAAGUAUGAUGAAGGAUGAAGAAGCAAUGUCCAAGGCGGCUUCAAGUGUUGAGGUGAUUGGAGAGUGGCUGAAACAUCCUCAUGUAGUUCCAGCAACAAGGUGGCGACUCUAGAAGAAGAAGAAGCAGCCAAGACUCAGCAAGAGUGUUGUAUCUCCAAGAAGAGGCUGAUAUGGUGUGUCCGAGCACUUCAACCUAACAAGAGAUUAGGUGAAAGGGGGAGAGACCAAGAUCAGGCAGUAAGGAGAGUACAAGGCGUGGGGAGAAUGAAGAGGCCAUGAUCCAGAGUCUUUGUGUCCCUUACAUUGUUGGUAAGGCACAAAGACUCACUGGCCAAUCCCUAGGCCAUGGAGACUUUACUCUUUUUCCCUCAUCAAGGUUUUGUCCCAAAGGGUUUUCCUUGGUGAGGUUUUUAAUGAGGAAGUUCUUCAAGGUUCCAAGCUUGACUUAGGAUCAGCUAAAGUCAAGCUUGAGGGGGAGUGUUGACUUGAAGAAAGAAAUGGAGACAAAGGAGGAGUUGGGUUGAGUUUGGGUCUUGAGCAAGAAUAGGGACAAGAUCUUAAGAGAUUGUCUAUCAAGGCUUCAUGAAGGUUUAGAGAAGUCUAGAAGUGUCAUGAAGGCUGUGCAAAGAUAGGGUUUGAGUCCAGGAGGGACUUAGACACCAUUUGGAGAUAGUUGGGUGAUGGUGCAAAGAUAGGGCGUCUCGAGGUUCAGACGGUACUGACGGUACGGACAAACCGUGCAAACUUAGGGCGACCCAGAACCUGAUCACACUCAACCAUUGGAGAUGUUUGGGUGAGAUGUGCAAACUUAGGGCGCGGUACGGACAGGCGGUCCGUACCAUCAACCGUACUUCACCCAGGAUCGACCAGAAGUUGUGCAAACUUAGGGCGUCGGUUUAGAGAGCGAUUAGGCGACCUUGUCUGAUUGUAAUCAGACUGUUUGUGGAUAAGGAAGAGAGAGGACGUGGUCAACAAGGACAGGCUGUCAAGAGGUGUAAAGGGAAAGCAAAGGGGACCAUGUAUCUAGCUAAAGAAGUGGGAAGGUUCAUGGGAGCCUUUGAGGAACCAAUCAGAAGCCAGCCCUUGCCUUGACCAGUUUGAAUGGACCAAUCACCAGCCAGCCUUCCUUAACCAAUCAGAAGCCAUCACCAAGAUUGCAAAGACCAAAACAAGACUACAUCCAAGCCAUCCAUUUCACAAGUCAUUUCUAGCCAUUAGAUUAAGGGUUUCUAAUGUUUCAAAGUGUAAAGCUUAUAAAAGCAUGUGUAUGGACGAAAAUUAAAGCUCUUAAGAGAGUAUGGGGGUUUUCCCAUCUCCUUCAUAAUUAUAAAAGUGUGUUCUUGAUCAGAUUCCCUUAAUCUCUCCCUUUCUUAGUCUCUAAUCUCUUAAUCUCUCAAAGUCUCUUUGUUUAUGAUCUAAGUUCAUACUAGUUUCAUCAGAUUCUUUCUUCACCAUUUCAAGACUCUAUUCUGCCCUAAGAGGCUUGUUCUUCACACACACAUCCUAGACUCUUAAAUCUCAUAUGGAGGAGAGCUAGUUGAUAUCUGAUUGGUUUAUUCAAAUUGGUCAUAGGGAAGGCUGUUCUCCCAUUGGCUCCUUAUAGGCUCCCAUGUAUCCAGCCCUUAAUCAGAUCAGGUUCAUGGUAAAGGCUGUCUUUCACUUUACAGCUACAGCCAGCCUGUCCAUACUCCAAAGUAGCCAAUCAGCUCCAUCUCAGCUCUCAUUGGCCGCUUGCCUUCACAAGGGAUCUCCUUGAUUCCCUUUUGAUGCUCCACGACCAGACUCCUUUUACUCAGCCCUAAGUGUGCACAAAGCCUCCAUGACAUGUUCUGAUCACGCCCUAACUUUGCACAUCUUGUCCCGGACUUUGCACAAUCUCAAAACAUCUCAAAUGGCCAAGUUGUGUAUCCUCGGGUUGUCUCGGUCCGUACGGAUCCGUACAGGUCCGUACCAUCCGUACUGCCUCGCCCUAAGUAUGCACACUUGCCCAUUUGCUCCCAAACACUCUUCUAAGUCCCUCCUGGACUUGGCCCUAUCUUUGCACAGCCAUAUGAGCACUUCUGGACACCUUCAAACACUCCUAAAGUAUUCAUAGAUAAUCUCCGGAGGUCUUGCCCUAUUCUUGCUCAAGACUCAAUCUCAACUCAACACUUCACCACUCCAUUUCUUUUCUUCAAGUCAACACUCUCCAUCUGAACCAUCCAUUUAAACUUCAAGUAUUAUCAGCCAUUAGAUUUAGGUUUAUGAUUUGCAUCUUGUAAGAGCUUAUAUAAGCUUAGUAAUGGCGAUUUGUAAAGGUUAAGGGAGUAAGGGGGAUUUCCCCUCUCCACUUCAUGGAAAUAAGAAGUUGUGUUCUUGAAUCAGAUUCUCUUUAAUCUCUCCCUUUCUUAGUCUUUAAUCUCCUAAUCUCUCAAAGUCUUUUGUUUCUGAUUUAAGUAAACACUCUCAUCAAUCUCUCUUUCUAAAUCACCUAGAGCAAGCUCUCAUCUUUCUCCAUUGGAGUUUAUACACACACAAACACAACUAGAGAAGAGAACUCUAUAAAUCUCACAUGGUAUCAGAGCCAGGUUCAUCAGAACCUGAGCUGUAGCUUCCGCAAAUCACUUGCUCUCACCUCAGCUCAAUCCAAACCCUUGAAGCCUUUCCCAUCCGAGUUCAGUUUCUCCAUGAAGUAGAAGACUGAAGCUGGCGUGGCUCUUAUCCUUUCUCCUGUCCAUACUGAUGGAGAGACUCAUUGGAAGCAGAGGUGUAUGGAGAGGCCUCGCGAACCUCAUCCUAGGUGCCUUGUCCAAGAGCUUUCCCAUCCGGUUCAUCAAGCAAGCUGCCAAGAAGGUGGCGCCUAGAAGAGAAGGAGAAAGGAGGGGUCUUUGAGUUAGAGAAACAAGGAGGAAGUCAUGAACUGAAGGAGAAGGAGAGAGGUGACGACCUAGACUCUCAUAUCCACAAAGUCAUGAGCUUACCAUCCGAGAGUGAUAGAAGGACCAACCUGGUUCCUUGGCAGUAAGCGAUUCUUUAAACCUUAAGUGAUAAUGAGCUUGUGAUAAAAUCUGGUUGUUGUGUUGUGAUGUGAUUGAAAACCUGAGGAUUGUUUAAAGAUUGCUAAAUGAAUUUAGAAUCUAUCCCAGGAUGCUUAAAGAGACUUGUUUGGUGAUUGAGAUUGAUUUUAAAAUGCUUAGCUCCGGUUCAUUGUAGUGCUUGUUGUGAUUGAUUGAAUCUGCUUGCAUACAUGGAUUGAAACUGAAUUUAAAGCUGUUGCAUAUAGNNNNNNNNNNNNNNNNNNNNNNNNNNNNNNNNNNNNNNNNNNNNNNNNNNNNNNNNNNNNNNNNNNNNNNNNNNNNNNNNNNNNNNNNNNNNNNNNNNNNNNNNNNNNNNNNNNNNNNNNNNNNNNNNNNNNNNNNNNNNNNNNNNNNNNNNNNNNNNNNNNNNNNNNNNNNNNNNNNNNNNNNNNNNNNNNNNNNNNNNNNNNNNNNNNNNNNNNNNNNNNNNNNNNNNNNNNNNNNNNNNNNNNNNNNNNNNNNNNNNNNNNNNNNNNNNNNNNNNNNNNNNNNNNNNNNNNNNNNNNNNNNNNNNNNNNNNNNNNNNNNNNNNNNNNNNNNNNNNNNNNNNNNNNNNNNNNNNNNNNNNNNNNNNNNNNNNNNNNNNNNNNNNNNNNNNNNNNNNNNNNNNNNNNNNNNNNNNNNNNNNNNNNNNNNNNNNNNNNNNNNNNNNNNNNNNNNNNNNNNNNNNNNNNNNNNNNNNNNNNNNNNNNNNNNNNNNNNNNNNNNNNNNNNNNNNNNNNNNNNNNNNNNNNNNNNNNNNNNNNNNNNNNNNNNNNNNNNNNNNNNNNNNNNNNNNNNNNNNNNNNNNNNNNNNNNNNNNNNNNNNNNNNNNNNNNNNNNNNNNNNNNNNNNNNNNNNNNNNNNNNNNNNNNNNNNNNNNNNNNNNNNNNNNNNNNNNNNNNNNNNNNNNNNNNNNNNNNNNNNNNNNNNNNNNNNNNNNNNNNNNNNNNNNNNNNNNNNNNNNNNNNNNNNNNNNNNNNNNNNNNNNNNNNNNNNNNNNNNNNNNNNNNNNNNNNNNNNNNNNNNNNNNNNNNNNNNNNNNNNNNNNNNNNNNNNNNNNNNNNNNNNNNNNNNNNNNNNNNNNNNNNNNNNNNNNNNNNNNNNNNNNNNNNNNNNNNNNNNNNNNNUUCGUCAUUCUAAUCAAACCAGGAUGAAUCGCGAUGUAAGAACCUUCAUUUGGAUACAUAAAGUAGUGUAGAAUCACCAGGAAGUUGAAUAAAUCUCAUAGGAGUUAGGAUGAAGAAGUUAUCCCACUUUCAAAUAAGGUUAUCCCAGUUUCCCUGUUUGAGAAUAUGACAACUUCUUCGUCAUUCUAAUCAAACCAGGAUGAAUCGUGAUAUACAAAGCUUGAUUUGGAUACAUAAAGUAGUGGAGAAUCAUCAGGAAGUUGAAUAAAUCUUAUAGGAGUUAGGAUGGAGAAGUUAUCCCACUUUCAAAUAAGGUGAUCCCAGUUUCCUUGUUUGGGAAUAUGACAACUUCUUCGUCAUUCUAAUCAAACCAGGAUGAAUCGUGAUAUACAAAGCUUGAUUUGGAUACAUAAAGUAGUGGAGAAUCAUCAGGAAGUUGAAUAAAUCUUAUAGGAGUUAGGAUGAAGAAGUUAUCCCACUUUCAAAUAAGGUGAUCCCAGUUUCCUUGUUUGGGAAUAUGACAACUUCUUCGUCAUUCUAAUCAAACCAGGAUGAAUCGCGAUGUACAAAGCUUGAUUUGGAUACAUAAAGUAGUGGAGAAUCACCAGGAAGUUGAAUAAAUCUCGUAGGAGUUAGGAUGAAGAAGUUAUCCCACUUUUAAAUAAGGUGAUCCCAGUUUCCCUGUUUGGGAAUAUUAUUGUUGAGAUGAAGAGUGUCAAGUGAAGAAUAGAGAUGAGGGUUGAGUAGAAUGAAGAAUAGGAAGGAUAGGAAGGUUUGGGAGCUUUGGGAUCAGCCUGUCCGUACAAGGCCGUACAUGGCCGUACAUGACAGGACAGGCCGUACAAGAUAGGAUCGACCAAAGCUCAACCAACCCUCACCAUAAGUUAUCCGAGUUACUUAAGUAAAGAGGAGAAGUUACCUUGGCCUUUGUGGGUGGAUCAGACCGUUGGAAAGGAUAAGGGAGAGUCUUGGAUAGGCUGGCACAGCUGGACACGGAAAAGCGAAAGGUAUGAGCCAGCUAAUGAAGGCUCACACGCGCGGCUCACCUCAUUGGACAAGUUUGAAAUGGCCAUUGACUCCACAUGCUUACCUUAUCCUCUUAGCUACGAAAACCCUAGUCUCUUCUCUUAUAAAGUUGUAAACACUCUCAUUAAUACAAUCAAGCAAGUUAUGAGUCUCUCUUAGUCUUUCUAAAACUCUCUCUAGACUCCAAAUCUUAUUUCAGACUUUAAUCUUUUCUAAACUCAUUUUAAUCUUCUCUAAACACUCAGAUUACUCUUAACAUCACUAAAACUAUCAUGGUAUCAGAGCCAGGUUAGUGAGAGCCUGAGGUCGUGUGAGAUUCUUUGAAGUUACAAGUUUGAAACUUUGAAGAAACUCUUGUGUGUUCUUAUGUGUUUGAGAGGUUCUGGGUACUUUUCAAGUUCAAGACUAGUUGUGGUGUGUUGUCUGAAGCUGCGUGGGUUGAAGAUCGAGGCUGUGAAGGUUUCUACAAGUCAUUCAACUCAAGAUAGAGUUCCUGAAGCUUAGAGAGUUCAUCAUUCAACAUGGAGAGUGGGAUGAACAUGAACAUGAAGGUAGCCGUGUGUUUCAAGGGAAACAACUACUUGGUAUGGUCAAGGAUGGUGAGAACCACGGUGGGAAGCAAGGGGUUGUGGAAGCAUAUCAACCCCGGAGAAGCUCCAAAACUCAUCACUCAAGUAGAGGAUGAUGGUGAGGCUGCAAGCAACGCGGCUGAGAAGUGGUAUCAAGAGGACAUGCUGGUGAUGUCAGUGCUUCACGCAUCCCUUGAGCCAGCAAUCUUAGAUGCUUACAGCUACUGUGAGUCUGCUAAGGAACUGUGGGACACACUGAAGAAGGUGUAUGGGAAUACAUCAAACUUGAGCAGGGUGUUUGAGGUGAAGCAAGCGAUUAACAACCUGGUACAAGAGGAUAUGGAGUUCACUAAACACCUUGGGAGAUUCAGAUCACUAUGGUCCGAGAUGGAGAUGUUAAGGCCAAGCACUACAGAUGCAGAUGAGCUCAACAAGAGAAGAGAGCAAGACAAGGUCUUUGGCCUACUUCUCACCCUCAACCCGGCGUAUAAUGGUCUCAUCCAGCACCUGCUUAGAGAAGACACUCUACCUGACCUUGAGGAUGUGUGUGCGCGGAUUCAGAAGGAGCAAGGCUCCAUUGGGUUGUUUGCCAAGAAAGGAGACCUUUCCCUUGCAAGCCAAGCGACUCAAGAGGAAGGGAAUGAAGCUACACAAGCAAAUAAGGCUGCUGCGCAUGGGAAGUAUGAGGAGAGGAGGUUCAAUGGGAACUGUGAUCACUGCAAGAAGCAUGGCCACAAGAAGAGUCAAUGCUGGAUCCUUCACCCACACCUCAAACCGGCAAAGUUCAUGAAGGACCGUGAGGCAAGGGCUAAUGUAUCAGAUGGAACGAGUGGAGCUGGUUCAAGCAAAGGAAAGGAGAUAGAUGGGCGUGAAGGAGGUGAUGGGAAGUCUCUUGUAGCCUACACUGGAGCCCCAAGCAACCGUGGGAACUAUGAUCGAGAGUAUCUAAGGAGAUCCGACCUGGAUGCUCUCAUCAAGCUCUUUAAAGAGCAUGGUAACACAUUUGCUUAUUCCUUUGGUGCUAGGGCUAUAGAGAAUGAUGAGAAUCUAACUAGAACUGAUAGGAUGCAUGAAAGUGUGAUUGAGAUAUUAAACCAAUCUAGAACGGCUAGUUUUGCUAGGAAUGAUCAUGUAUUCAAACCGUCUAGUAUCCUUGCUCAUAUUGCUAGUUCACAUACCAUUAAGCCUUUAGUAGUUGAUUCUGGUGCAUCUCAUCAUAUGAUAAGUGACACUAGUUUAAUUAAAGACAUUGUACCAAUGAAUGGUAAUGUGAUGAUAGCUAAUGGAGAUAAGAUACCUAUUAGAGGAAUAGGAAGUCUUAAACUGUUUGGUAAGGAGACUAAAGCCUUUUAUAUGCCUGAAUUUACUUCAAACUUGUUAUCUGUUAAGAAAUGUGCUACUGAUUUGCAAUGCAAUGUCAUAUUCAGUCCUAAUGAUGUGAAGUUUCAGGAUAUUAAAAGCAGCAAGAUGAUUGGAAAGGGAGUGACUAAAGGAGAAUUGUAUUUACUCAAAGAUCUUGCUCCUGUUUCUAGUUAUAGCUGCUCGUUUACUUCUGUUUCUGGUUCUAGUUUAAGUAAAAAUGCAUUGUGGCAUGCUAGAUUAGGACACCCUCAUAAUAAGGCUUUAAAACUGAUGUUGCCAGGUGUUUCCUUUGAGAAUAAUGAGUGUGAAGCUUGCAUCUUAGGCAAGCAUUGUAGAACUGUCUUUACCAAGUCUACUACUGUUUAUGAAAAAUGUUUUGAUCUUAUUCAUUCUGAUGUUUGGACUGCACCUUGCCUUUCUAGAGACAAUCAUAAGUACUAUGUAACUUUCAUUGAUGAAAAAUCCAAAUACACCUGGUUAACUUUAAUUCCAACCAAAGAUAGGGUACUUGAUGCAUUUAAAAACUUUCAAGCCUAUGUGAUUAACCAUUACAAUGCCAAGAUAAAAAUUUUUAGGUCAGAUAAUGGAGGAGAGUACACGGGACAAGCAUUCAAGCUACAUCUAUCUCAACAUGGAAUACUUCAUCAGACAAGCUGUCCCUAUACACCACAACAGAAUGGUGUGGCUGAAAGGAAGAACAGGCACUUGAUGGAAGUAGCCAGGUCCAUGAUGUUUCAAUCCAAUGUGCCUAAGAAGUUUUGGAGUGAUGCAGUUGCUACGGCUUGUUAUCUCAUCAACAGGACACCAACUCUGAUCCUUCAAGGACAAUCACCAUUUGAGGUAUUGAAUCAGUACAAACCUUCACUCGAGCAUAUGAAGAUCUUUGUAUGUUUGUGUUUUGUGAUGGUGCCUGGAGAGAUAAGAAACAAGCUAGAAGCUAAUAGUUCAAAGGCAAUGUUCAUUGGAUACUCAUCAAGUCAGAAAGGAUACAAGUGCUAUGAUCCUAACACAAGGAGAGUGUUAGUAUCUAGAGAAGUAAAGUUUGUUGAAGAAAAAGGAUAUUAUGAGGAGCAGAUUCAAGAAGAUUUGAAGGAUCUUACAUCUGAUAGAGCUGAAACCUUGAGGUUGAUCCUAGAAGGGCUUGGAAUCAACAUGAAUCAAGGACAUCAGGGGGGGAGAAGCUGUUAACUUGAAGAGAAGAAAUGGAGAAACUAAAGGUGUUGAGUUGAGUUGGGGCUUGUGCAAAAGAUAGGGCAAGGUGUCCAGAAGUGUCAUGAUGGAUGUGCAAUGUUAGGGCCAAGUCUAGGAGAGACUUAGAAGUGUAUUUGGGAGCAAAUGGACGAGUGUGCAAAGAUAGGGAGAGGCAGUACGGACAUGUACGGACAGUACGGAUCUGUACAGACCAGGGCGACCCAGAUUUGCAUAACUCGGCCAUUUGAGAAGUUUAGGAAUUGGUGCAAAAAUAGGGUGAACCUGACGUCCCGGGAAAGCUUGUGCAAUGUCUGGGCAAGGUUUGAGAGUUAUAAAAGUGGUCCCAGUCUUGUGGAUAAGGUUCUGAUCAGAUGGCAUCAAAGGAGAAUCAAAAAGAUGCCAUUGGAGUGUGAUUGGCUAGUUUGGUCAUGGGACAGGCUGGCCUUGGCUGUAAAGACAAGGGGAGCCACGACCAUGAACCUGGACUGAUCUGUGGACAGAUUAUGAGGAGCCUAAGGAGAGCCAAUCACAGCCCAGCCUUCCCCAUUUUGAAUUAAACCAAUCAGGCUCCAUCUCCUCUUAACCAAUCAGCAUCAACUACUCAGAUUGCAACAAGACCAGCUCAUCUACACCAUCCAUUCCUCUUAAGUUAUUAUCAGCCAUUAGAUAUAGGUUUCUGAUUGUGUAAACCUGUGUAAGCUUAUAAAUAAGCAUGAUGGACGAAAUUGUAUCUCUCUAAGAGAGAGAGGGGGAUUUCCCCUCCUCCUUCAUCAAUGAAAGGGUUUUGAAAACCAGAAACACAAAUUUAUUCUCUAGUCUUAAUCUCUCAGUCUCUCAGUCUCUUAAUCUCUGUUUCUAAGUCUCUUAUACACUCAAAAACACUCUUAUCAAUCUCUGUUCUUAAAUCACCAUUAAAAGGCUCAAUUGGAGCUUAUGCACAUUCACACACACAACCAGAGUAGUACUCUAUAAAAACUCAUCAAUCUCUGUUCUUAAAUCACCAUUAAAAGGCUCAAUUGGAGCUUAUACACAUUCACACACACAACCAGAGUAGUACUCUAUAAAAACUCACAUGGUAUCAGAGCCAGGUUCAUCAGAACCUGGUUGAAGCUUCCGCACAUCUCACACUCAUACCUCAGCUCAAAUCAAGCCAUGAAGACAGCUCCAUCCAGUUCAGUUUCUCCAUGAAGAAGAAGACUGAAGCUUGGCGCUUGUUCCUGGUUCCUCAACCUUUCUCAUACCUGUCCUGAUGAAGAGCCACGUUGGAAGCAAAGGUAGAUGGAGAGGCCUAGCUAACCUGACUCCAAAACGCCUUGUCAAGUGUUUGUUGCAUCUGGUUACAAGAAAGAAGAUGUCUAGAAGAUGGUGACUGUAUGUAUGGAGAAAGGAGGGGUCUUUGAGCUGGAGAAACAAGAAAAUGGUCAUGAGUAGAAGGAAGAGAGGUUGGGUGACGACCUGUAACUCUCAGAUCCAACAAGCCAUGACCUUAAUACCAUUGGAGGUUCAAGGAACCAAACAGGUUCCUUGACUGUAAGCUAUUACUAUCCCUUCUUGAUAAUGAGCUUGUGUUAUUGACUGGUUGUGAUGUUGUGAUGUGAUUGAAAACCUGAGGAUUGUUUAAAGAUUGCUAAAUGAAAAUGAUUUAGAAUCUGUCCCAGGAUGCUUAAAGAGACUUGUUUGGUGAUUGAGAUUGAAUUAAUAUGCUUAGCUCCAGUUCAUAGUGAUGCUUGUUGUGAUUAAUUGAAUCUGCUUGUAUACAUGUAAUGAAUCUGAUUGAAAGCUGUUGCAUAUAGUCUUGUGGCUGUCUUACAUUGAAGCAUUAGAUUUAUGUCUAAAUUGCUGAGUAAAGAAGCUUAAAAAAUUGCCUAAGUAGCUUGUAUUGAAUCUGUUAGGAUCAUGCUAGUGCUUAGAGAGUUUGCUUGCAAAGAUUAGAACUUGAAAAUGUCUAGUUUAAUCUGUUGCAUUGCUUAAAGACAUUGGUGUUCAAACUUGAUGAUGCAUCAAGGGUUGACCCAAUGCACUUGUGUCUUAUCUUUGCUGGAGUUUGAGUGAUGUUUCAGGUUCACAAGAGGUGUUCUUGGUUCACCAUCCAUCCGAGUUGAAAGAGGAAGACUUUGCCCAUUGUGUGGAGCAAUGGAGAGUUGAGAAAGAAGUGGUGAUGCGCCACUGGUGUGAAGUCUCACUGAAGCUCACUUGCAAGCUUGGACCUAUACUCAAUCCAAGCUUGAGGAGGGGAGUUUAGUGAGCUAUCAGUCGGACCAAGAAGGUUCAGAAGGUCCAUUGCAAGCAACUGAAGAUGAAGGAGCCAUCCGGGUCUAGGCAGUGGCGUGUAAGAGUUUUAAGUAAUGUAAAAGAUAAUCUGAGUUUAGAUGAGAAUAAGGAAGAGAUUUGUGUAGUUUAAGAGAUUAAGAGACUAAUGGAGAAUCAUUAUGAAAAGUCUAGAGAGAUUAAUUGUUUAGAACUGUCUGAUUCUUAUUAAUGAUGAGCUCACAAUAUAUAUAGGUCCAUACACAUUAGGGUUUUCGAAAUCAUAAGGAUAAGCAAGCAUGUAGAGUCAAAGAGGAGCUGGUGCUUUAGUUUGAACCGGCCAAUGAUAGUCUCCACACGUUUGAAGCAUCUUCUUGAUCCAAGACUAGAUGUUCUUCCUUUCCAGCUCUUGCCAGCCUGUCCUAGCUGUCAAGCCGCGCCUCCCUUAUCCUCUCCAACGUUCGGAUAAGGUCUUGGUCAAGUGUAACUUCAAGUAAGUCCAUGUAAGUUACCCGGAGAGUUACUUGGCCGCUUUUACCUUUGUACGGCCAAUGGUACGGCCUAUCCGUCCGUACCAUCUCUAUCAACCCAUUUCUUCUCUUAACUCCUUUGCCCUCUUUAUGUCCUCAACUCCUUUGUGUCUUUACCUCUUAUCUCAUAUGUCUCAACUCAUCUCAACAGCGUGUCUAGGCAAGAGAGUGUUCAGAGCACUCUUGGCUGUGAGAAGAUGAAGACUUUAUCAGUGCGGCUUCUAGUGUGAGGUGGCUGAAGAGGUAGCUGAAGCUUCCACAAGCACUCCAUGAAGAUGGCGAGUUCAGAAGGUGUUGCAAUGGAGUAAUGGUGCAGAUCAUGAAGCUAUCCAUCCAAGCUUGUUCCUGUGAGAUUCUCAAGCUUGAGGGGGAGUGUUGAAGCUUACAUGAUCUGAGAGUACUUGGUGGUUAUUCAAGAAGAGGAGCAGAUCAGUUAUGAAGCAUAAUGAAGGAUGAAGAAGCAAUCACCAAUGCGGCCUCUAGAGUGAGGUGAUUGGUACUACAGUCUGAAGCAUCCUGUCAUGAAGGUUUCAGUAACAUGUGUUGAAGCUUACAUGAUCUGAGAGUACUUGGUGGUUAUUCAAGAAGAGGAGCAGAUCAGUUAUGAAGCAUAAUGAAGGAUGAAGAAGCAAUCACCAAUGCGGCCUCUAGAGUGAGGUGAUUGGUACUACAGUCUGAAGCAUCCAGUCAUGAAGGUUUCAGUAACAUGGUGGUGACUCAUGAAGAAGAAGCAGCCAAGACUCAGCUUGUAUCUAUCAAAGAAGAUCUGGUAGUCCGAGCACUUGAUCACAACAAGAAGGUUGUGAGAAAGAGGGAGAGACCAAGAUCUGUUUAAAGAAGAGUACAAGAAGUGUUGAUGAUGAGCAAGAGGAGUGGGUUCUAUCUUGCAUCACAUGAGGGCCAUGAUCCAGAGUCUUUGUGUCCCUUACAUUGUUGGUAAGGCACAAAAACUCACUGGCCAAUCCCUAGGCCUUGGAGACUUUACUCUUUUUCCCUCAUCAAGGUUUUGUCCCAAAGGGUUUUCCUUGGUGAGGUUUUUAAUGAGGAAGUUCUUCAAGGUUCCAAGCUUGACUUAGGAUCAACUAAAGUCAAGCUUGAGGGGGAGUGUUAACUUGAAGAGAAGAAAUGGAGAAACUAAAGGUGUUGAGUUGAGUUGGGGCUUGUGCAAAAGAUAGGGCAAGGUGUCCAGAAGUGUCAUGAUGGAUGUGCAAUGUUAGGGCCAAGUCUAGGAGAGACUUAGAAGUGUAUUUGGGAGCAAAUGGACGAGUGUGCAAAGAUAGGGAGAGACAGUACGGACAUGUACGGACAGUAUGGACAUGUACGGACAGUACGGAUCUGUACAGACCAGGGCGACCCAGAUUUGCAUAACUCGGCCAUUUGAGAAGUUUUGGAGUUGGUGCAAAAAUAGGGCGAACCUGACGUCCCGGGAAAGCUUGUGCAAUGUCUGGGCAAGGUUUGAGAGUUAUAAAAGUGGUCCCAGUCUUGUGGAUAAGGUUCUGAUCAGAUGGCAUCAAAGGAGAAUCAAGAAGAUGCCAUUGGAGUGUGAUUGGCUAGUUUGGUCAUGGGACAGGCUGGCCUUGGCUGUAAAGACAAGGGGAGCCAAGACCAUGAACCUGGACUGAUCUGUGGACAGAUUAGGAGGAGCCUAAGGAGAGCCAAUCACAGCCCAGCCUUCCCCAUUUUGAAUUAAACCAAUCAGGCUCCAUCUCCUCUUAACCAAUCAGCAUCAACUACUCAGAUUGCAACAAGACCAGCUCAUCUACACCAUCCAUUCCUCUUAAGUUAUUAUCAGCCAUUAGAUAUAGGUUUCUGAUUGUGUAAACCUGUGUAAGCUUAUAAAUAAGCAUGAUGGACGAAAUUGUAUCUCUCUAAGAGAGAGAGGGGGAUUUCCCCUCCUCCUUCAUCAAUGAAAGGGUUUUGAAAACCAGAAACACAAAUUUAUUCUCUAGUCUUAAUCUCUCAGUCUCUCAGUCUCUUAAUCUCUGUUUCUAAGUCUCUUAUACACUCAAAAACACUCUUAUCAAUCUCUGUUCUUAAAUCACCAUUAAAAGGCUCAAUUGGAGCUUAUACACAUUCACACACACAACCAGAGUAGUACUCUAUAAAAACUCACAUGGUAUCAGAGCCAGGUUCAUCAGAACCUGGUUGAAGCUUCCGCACAUCUCACACUCAUACCUCAGCUCAAAUCAAGCCAUGAAGACAGCUCCAUCCAGUUCAGUUUCUCCAUGAAGAAGAAGACUGAAGCUU